rnacentral:rRNA from 1 species
UACGUAGGGGGGCUAGCGUUGUCCGGAAUCAUUGGGCGUAAAGAGCGUGUAGGCGGUCCGGUAAGUCCGCUGUGAAAGUCGGGGGGCUCAACCCUCGAAUGCCGGUGGAUACUGUCGGGCUAGAGUGCGGAAGAGGCGAGUGGAAUUCCUGGUGUAGCGGUGAAAUGCGCAGAUAUCAGGAAGAACACCGGGGGCGAAGGCGGCUCUCUGGGCCUUACCUGACGCUGAGGAGCGAAAGCGUGGGUAGCGAACAGG